UAAUAUCGGUUGUGUCACUGCAUGUGCAGA
rnacentral:piRNA from 1 species